UUUUGCCGUUGUGCAUUUGAUUUUUCCUUAAGUGUAGUACUUUCCACUUGUCUUUAUUAAACUUCAUCUUGUUGAUUUCAGACCAACUUGUCAAGAU